GUCGUGAGAUGUUGGGUUAAGUCCCGCAACGAGCGCAACCCUCGUCCUAUGUUGCCAGCGAGUAAUGUCGGGGACUCAUAGGAGACUGCCGGGGUCAACUCGGAGGAAGGUGGGGAUGACGUCAAGCCAUCAUGCCCCUUAUGUCCAGGGCUGCACACAUGCUACAAUGGCCGGCACAAAGGGCUGCGAUACCGCAAGGUGGAGCGAAUCCCAUAAAGCCGGUCUCAGUUCGGAUUGGGGUCUGCAACUCGACCCCAUGAAGUCGGAGUCGCUAGUAAUCGCAGAUCAGCAACGCUGCGGUGAAUACGUUCCCGGGCCUUGUACACACCGCCCGUCACGUCACGAAAGUCGGUAACACCCGAAGCCGGUGGCCCAACCCUUGUGGAGGGAGCCGUCGAAGGUGGGAUCGGCGAUUGGGACGAAGUCGUAACAAGGUAGCCGUACCGGAAGGUGCGGCUGGAUCACCUCCUUUCUAAGGAGCACUAGGCCGGCUCGAAAGAGACGGCUCAGAAUGCUUGAUCGUAAGCGAACGCCUUACGCAAGCAGCUCAAGGGUGGAACACUAACUAGUUCGUUUCACAGCGAACGUCGGCCGCUAGUACUCCGGUUUACCGGGUGGAACGUGGCCUUUCGUUCGUCUGAGAUACGUAGGCACACUGUUGAGUCCUGAGGGAGUGGGCUUGAAACCCCGCCUUCACGGUCGAUACGGCCGGAAUGGUCCGGCAUUCAUCCUCAUCGAACGGCGUCUGUUGUCAGACGCACGCGAUGGGCACGGAUGAAUCGCCGCCCGUACCUUGAGAACUGCACAGUGGACGCGAGCAUCUUUGUGGCCAAGUUAAUAAGGGCGCACGGUGGAUGCCUUGGCACUAGGAGCCGAAGAAGGACGUAGGAGGCUGCGAUAAGCCUCGGGGAGCUGUCAACCGAGCAUUGAUCCGAGGAUUU
rnacentral:sRNA from 1 species